rnacentral:rRNA from 1 species
AUCCUGGCUCAGGAUGAACGCUAGCGGCAGGCUUAACACAUGCAAGUCGAGGGGCAGCGUGAGGGUUAGCAAUAACCCUUGACGGCGACCGGCGCAAGGGUGCGUAACGCGUGAGCAACUUGCCCUUAUCAGGGGGAUAACCGGUGGAAACGCCGACUAAUACCCCAUGGCAUCACAUCAAGGCAUCUUUAUGUGAUUAAAGAAAUUCGGAUAAGGAUAGGCUCGCGUGACAUUAGCUAGACGGCGGGGUAACGGCCCACCGUGGCUACGAUGUCUAGGGGUUCUGAGAGGAAGGUCCCCCACACUGGAACUGAGACACGGUCCAGACUCCUACGGGAGGCAGCAGUGAGGAAUAUUGGUCAAUGGUCUGACGACUGAACCAGCCAUGCCGCGUGAAGGUCACGGCCCUAUGGGUCUUAAACUUCUUUUGCGAGGGAGCAAUAAGGUCUACGUGUAGUCCGAUGAGAGUACCUCGCGAAUAAGCAUCGGCUAACUCCGUG